rnacentral:rRNA from 1 species
AUUGAACGCUGGCGGCAGGCCUAACACAUGCAAGUCGAGCGAGCGGCGGACGGGUGAGUAAUGUAUGGGGACUGCCCGAUAGAGGGGGAUAACUACUGUAAACGGUAGCUAAUACCGCAUACUAUAGGAUAACCCCUAUGGGAUUAGCUAGUAGUGGUGGUAAUGGCUCACCAAGUCAACGAUCCGUAGCUGGUUUGAGAGGACGAUCAGACACACUGGGACUGAGACACGGCCCAGACUCCUACGGAGGCAGCAGUGGGGAAGUUUGGACAAUGGGGGAAAGCCUGAUCCAGCAAUCCCGCGUGUAUGAAGAAGGCCGUCGGGUUGUAAAGUACUUUUGGCAGAGAAGCGUUAUCUGCAGAAUAAGCACCGGCUAACUACGUGCCAGCCGCCGCGGUAAUAC